CCAUCUAUGGCUUUGGAGUAGGCUAAGAGUGGGAAGCGAAAAGCCACAGAGAGGCCUUGAACCCGGCUACCUACAUGCUGACAUGUUUUGGAGAAGAACUUGGAGAGAAGUCUAGCAGUUCUAAGUUCAACCCAAGACUUCUAGGUUAUUAUGAAGACGUAUUUGUCCGGAAAACACUCCUGAAGCAUAACAGAGUGGAUGGAAAAUAUAAGAUGUUCACAAGACCCAGAAAACAGUCAUGCUACGUGGCUUGAAAAUGCUAAGCAGAUUCCAAUAUCCUAUAUACAUGUGCAGUUAUUUCCAAGGAAAAAAACCACAUUUGC